AACGAACGCUGGCGGCGUGCCUAACACAUGCAAGUCGAACGAGAAAGGGGCUUCGGCUCCGAGUAAAGUGGCGCACGGGUGAGUAACACGUAGGCAACCUGCCUCUAAGAUUGGGAUAACCUGUCGAAAGACGAGCUAAUACCGAAUAAGACCACGGCUUCCGUCGGAAAGCUAGGGGUCAAAGGUAGCCUCUACUUGUAAGCUAUCACUUAGAGA
rnacentral:rRNA from 1 species